GACGAACGCUGGCGGCGUGCCUAACACAUGCAAGUCGAACGGAAAGGCCCUGCUUUUGCGGGGUGCUCGAGUGGCGAACGGGUGAGUAACACGUGAGUAACCUGCCCUUGACUUUGGGAUAACUUCAGGAAACUGGGGCUAAUACCGGAUAGGAGCUCCUGCUGCAUGGUGGGGGUUGGAAAGUUUCGGCGGUUGGGGAUGGACUCGCGGCUUAUCAGCUUGUUGGUGGGGUAGUGGCAUACCAAGGCUUCGACGGAUAGCCGGCCUGAGAGGGUGGCCAGGGACAUUAGGACUAAGAGACGGACCAGUCUCCUACGGGAGGCAACGGUCGAAAAUAUUGCACAGUGGGCGGAAGCGUGAUACGGCAGCCCCGCGUGCGGGAUGACGGCCUACUGGUUAUGAACCGCUUUCGCCUGUGACGAAGCGUGAGUGACGGUAAUGAGUAAAGAAGCACCGGCUAACUACGUG
rnacentral:rRNA from 1 species